UACGUAGGGGGCAAGCGUUGUCCGGAUUUAUUGGGCGUAAAGAGCGUGUAGGCGGUUUGGUAGGUCCGCUGUGAAAACUCGAGCUCAACCUCGAGACGCCGGUGGAAACCAUCAGACUAGAGUCCGGAAGAGGAGAGUGGAAUUCCUGGUGUAGCGGUGAAAUGCGCAGAUAUCAGGAGGAACACCAGUGGCGAAGGCGGUGCUCUGGGCCGGUACUGACGCUGAGGAGCGAAAGCGUGGGGAGCGAACAGG
rnacentral:rRNA from 1 species